rnacentral:misc_RNA from 1 species
GAAAUGCGAUAAGUAAUGUGAAAUUGCAGAAUUCAGUGAAUCAUCGAAUCUUUGAACGCACCUUGCGCUCCUUGGUAUUCCUUGGAGCAUGCCUGUUUGAGUAUCAUGAAAUCUUCAAAGUAAAUCUUUUGUUAACUCAAUUGGUUUCUACUUUGGUAUUGGAGGUCUUUGCAGCUUCACACCUGCUCCUCUUUGUUCAUUAGCUGGAUCUCAGUGUUAUGCUUGGUUCCACUCGGCGUGAUAAGUUAUCUAUCGCUGAGGACACUGUAAAAGGUGGCCAAGGUAAAUGCAGAUGAACCGCUUCUAAUAGUCCAUUGACUUGGACAAUACUUUUAUGAUCUGAUCUCAAAUCAGGUAGGACUACCCGCUGAACUUAAGC